GAUGAACGCUGGCGGCGUGCCUAAUACAUGCAAGUCGAGCGAACAGACGAGGAGCUUGCUCCUCUGACGUUAGCGGCGGACGGGUGAGUAACACGUGGAUAACCUACCUAUAAGACUGGGAUAACUUCGGGAAACCGGAGCUAAUACCGGAUAAUAUAUUGAACCGCAUGGUUCAAUAGUGAAAGACGGUUUUACUGUCACUUAUAGAUGGAUCCGCGCCGCAUUAGCUAGUUGGUAAGGUAACGGCUUACCAAGGCGACGAUGCGUAGCCGACCUGAGAGGGUGAUCGGCCACACUGGAACUGAGACACGGUCCAGACUCCUACGGGAGGCAGCGGUAGGGAAUCUUCCGCAAUUGGCGAAAGCCUGACGGAGCAACGCCGCGUGAGUGAUGAAGGGCUUCGGAUCUUAAAACUCUGUUAUUAGGGAAGAACAAAUGUGUAAGUAACUAUGCACGUCUUGACGGUACCUAAUCAGAAAGCCACGGCUAACUACGUG
rnacentral:rRNA from 1 species